AUUAAGAUGUCUGAUAUAAAGGUGGUAAAUUGUAAAUUUACUUAAGAAUUAAUAUAAUUCUCUUAAUA
rnacentral:tRNA from 1 species